rnacentral:rRNA from 1 species
CCAGGCGCAUCGCUGGGUAGCUAUGAACGGAAGGGAUAAACGCUGAAAGCAUCUAAGUGUGAAGCCCCCCUCGAGAUGAGAUUUCCCAUUCCUAUAUGGAAGUAAGACCCCUGAAAGAUGAUCAGGUAGAUAGGCUGGAAGUGGAAGUGCAGCGAUGCAUGGAGCGGACCAGUACUAAUCGGUCGAGGACUUAACCAAG